GGCUUUUGUGGAAUGUAAAAAGUUCUACGAAUAAGGACUGGGUAAGACUAGUGCCAGCCGCCGCGGUAAUACUAGCGGUCCAAGUCGCAGCCAUUCUUAUUGGGUCUAAAACAUCCGUAGCUUGCUUGAUAAGUUUUCUGUGAAAUCUCAUAUCUCAAGUAUAAGAAUUGUGGAAAAUACUGUCAAGCUAGAGACCGGGAGACGUAAAGAGUACGUCUAAAGUAGCGGUAAAAUGUGUUGAUCUUAGGCGGACUGACGAUAGCGAAGGCACUUUACGAGAACGGUUCUGACAGUAAGGGAUGAAGGCUAGGGGCGCAAAACGGAUUAGAUACCCGUGUAGUCCUAGCAGUAAACACUGCACACUAAGCCUUGUGAUCUCUUCGAGAGAUUGCAGGGCUGCAGGGAAGCCGAAGAGUGUGCUACCUGGGAAGUAUAGUCGCAAGGCUGAAACUUAAAGGAAUUGGCGGGGAGACACUACAACGGGUGACGCGUGCGGUUCAAUUAGAUUAUACACCGUGAACCUCACCAGGAGCGACAGCAGAAUGAAGGUCAGUCUAAAGGGCUUACCUGACACGCUGAGAGGGGUUGCAUGGCCGACGUCAGCCUGUGCUGUGAGGCGAUCUGUUAAAUCAGAUAACAGGCAAGACCCACAUCUUUAUUUAC
rnacentral:rRNA from 1 species